UAUGCUUUAUUCUGUCUUCUGUCCAGCAGUAUAAACAAUGGGUUUGUCAUUUGUUAUGGAGAUGAGUCAGGAAAAAUAAGUGGAAGAAAGCACAACUAUUAAAAAUAAGUCUAUAUAGGUACAUGAUGAAGGAUAAGCAAAGAGAAGUACGGUAUGUCUCUGCACCUGCCUCCAUCCUUGAUUAGCUUUAUUUAUUUAUCUGUACUCUAUAAGCUAAAUGGAUGAGUUGCGCAGUGUUUUUCGUUUUACUACCAUUUUAUCGACAUGUCAGCAGAACUUUAACUUUACAAAGCUAGGAAAUCUUAAUGGCUGAUAGUUGUACUUAAGUCCUUUCUCUAAGUCAUCCUGUUAUUGCUACACGAUGAAAAAUAUGGAUUGCAUCUUUGAGAUUCUCCUUCAGAUAAAAAUCAUCAAAAGGUUAUGGUUUUGCAGUUAUUUAACUUGAAAAAGUGGAGGGUAAUAUAACAAAAAAUAUCUAUGUGUACUUUGAUGAAAUGCUAGCAGGAUAUUUUGUAUAUUUUCUGAAAGAGGGAACAUUGGAAGGAAAGGAGAUUCAAUUUAAAUAAAAGCU
rnacentral:lncRNA from 1 species